rnacentral:misc_RNA from 1 species
GAUGAAGAACGCAGCGAAAUGCGAUAAGUAAUGUGAAUUGCAGAAUUCAGUGAAUCAUCGAAUCUUUGAACUCACAUUGCGCCCCCUGGCAUUCCGGGGGGCAUGCCUGUCCGAGCGUCAUUACAACCCUCAAGCUCAGCUUGGUGUUGGGCCCCGCCGCCCCGGCGGGCCCUAAAGUCAGUGGCGGUGCCGUCCGGCUCCGAGCGUAGUAAUUCUUCUCGCUCUGGAGGUCCGGUCGCGUGCUCGCCAGCAACCCCCAAUUUUUUUCAGGUUGACCUCGGAUCAGGUAGGGAUACCCGCUGAACUUAAGCAUAUCAAUAAGCGGAGGA